AAAUACUGAUUCUAAGAAAGUUGAAUGGUGUCCGGGCCAGGUGUGACAGCUCAGGCUUAUAAUCCCAGCACUUUGGGAGGCCGAGGCAGGUGGAUCACCUAAGGUCAGGAGUUUGAGACCGGCCUGGCCAA